rnacentral:rRNA from 1 species
UUUUACUGGAGUGACAUUCUGGGGAUGACGUCAAGUCGCUCAUGGCCCUUAUGGGUAGGGCUUCACACGUCAUACAAUGGUCGGGACAGAGGGUCGCCAACCCGCGAGGGGGAGCCAAUCCCAGAAACCCGGAUCGUAGUCCGGAUCGCAGUCUGCAACUCGACUGCGUGAAGUCGGAAUCGCUAGUAAUCGCGGAUCAGCAUGUCGCGGUGAAUACGUUUCCCCGGGGUUCUUGUACACACCCGCCCGUUCACACCAUGGGAGUGGGUUUUACCAGAAGUAGUUAGCCUAACCGCAAGGGGGGCGAUUACCACGGUAGGAUUCAUGACUGGGGUUGAAGUCGAACAAGGUAGC